CUCACCUCAGCUAUCAGUAGGAGCUGAUAGAUAUGUCGUGGGGGGGCCUCUGCUGCCUGGCCUCUGUGUGGAGAACCUCCUUUUUCCAUCUUCUUGGGGGACUGUUGCUCCCCCUGGGACAGAGAGUCUCUCAGGUUCAGGCUAUUCCACUGUGGAUAAAUAAUGAAAGAAUGAUUGGAGCAGAGGAACUGGAUUCAGGGUGCUUCCUACCUUCCAUGUGAAUGUCCCACCACCAAACUGCAGAAUGUCUCUCUCUGGCCCAAUGUCUAAAGAGUCUCAGCACCUAACUUGGCUCAGUGGAUUGUAGCAAUGCUCCUAUGAUUUUCUUAGCAUGCAAAGG